rnacentral:tRNA from 1 species
GAAAAAUAAGCUAAUUUUAAGCUUUUGGAUUCAUAAUUCAAAUAUAGGACACCUUUUUUCUAA